GCGCAGGAGGAGGCGCAGGAGGACGCGCUGGAGGAGGCGACAGCAGGGGGUUCCGCUUCCUCUAGUUCGUCGAGCGUCUACUUGCGAGGUCCCGCGAGCCUCCCUCAGCGACCGAUACCUCGUGAGAGACGCCCGCUGAUUCGACCCGAGGGGGAAAAGAACUGGACGAUUGUGGCGAGUGGAGGUGCUCACACACGCCAAGUCAAUGGCAUCCUCGGUCUUCUGUGCAAGGAGCACUUCCCUGGCCUGGUUGAGUACGCCGGAGUGACGGGGCCGGCCUACUCGUUUGACCACUACGCCGCCGCCCCCGAUGCUGCAGAUCGGGCCCGCAGGGUAUUCAACAACAAGGCGGAGCGGGUGAAGCAAGAGCUGUGGGAUUUCUUUAGAUGCCAGGACGGACAUGAGGCCAGGGCGGAUGCGGUGGCUACCAAAUGCUGCAAAAAACUCAUCGUGGACAUGCAUUACGAGGGGCGCAUCCAGGCCGUCGUAACUUACCACGGGACCGUCGUUGGAACGAAGGUCACCAAAAGGGACGCAAGAACCAUGACGCUGACCCGGGACCAGUACCUGUAGAUGAUUCCUUAUUGGUGCGCCGCGCAUCCCCAGUGCUGGGAACAGAUGGUGGACAAGUGGUGCUCACGCGAGUGGGAGGAGACGCACAACUUGUGCCGGGAGCGGCGUUUGAUGAUGCCAGGUGUAGCACACCAUCAAGGCAGCCGCAACCUCAGCGGAUACGCACAAACAUGGUCGGCGUCACAUGGUGGCCAGCCUUGCUCCAUCUUCAAGGCAUUUGCUAUGGCCCACAAGGGCAAGGCGACGUCCGACGUCGACUACAACCCGGAGGACGGGCCCGAGGCGUACAGCAAUGCGACCGUCCACAACCGCCUUAGUGAGUACACAUCGAUGGCAAGGGAGGUCCAUGGGCCAGAGUACGAUCCAAGCACCGAGGACCUUGAUGGAGAAGUCGUCAUGAGGGUGGGAGGAGGCAAGAAGCAUGGGCGAUACUAGAUUGGCGACGGCGCAAUCGACUCGGCCGCUACUCCCAGUCUCUCCCAGAUUCGAGCAAGCAGCACGAGCACGAGCCCGGCCAUACGACCUCGGAAGGACACUUCACACCACCAGGUGGAGGCACUCGAGGCCCAGCUGGAACAAGAGAGGAGGAUACGGGAGCAAAUGCAGGCGACGAUGGAGGCCGAGCAGCGGAGGAUGGUGGAGAUUCUUCAGUACAUGCAAAGUAUUGGCGCCGCUACGGGUGUGGCUCCGCCACCUUCGCUAUUCGCUCCACCUCCACCUCCACCUCCUCACUAUUCUACUCCUAAUCAAUCGGCGGCAUCGAAUGAUCCUCAUGCUUCAGCGAAUCAUUCACCAAAUCAGUUUCAUUGACCAUCUUGGUGAUGAUACUUGUGGUUGUUAAUGGUACUUCUAUUUGCAAUUAUGGUUGUAGAUGAUGGAGCACUUGGAUUACUUGUGAACUUAUUUGUGAUAUAUUGUGAGACAUGUGAUGUUUGUGAUAUAUAUGUGGUGUUGGUGAUAUAUAUGUGCUGUUGAUGAUAUAUAUGUGAUGUUGGUGAUGUUUGUUAUAUAUAUAUAUAUCUGUUUGUUU